AUUGAACGCUGGCGGCAGGCCUAACACAUGCAAGUCGAGCGGAUGAAGGGAGCUUGCUCCUGGAUUCAGCGGCGGACGGGUGAGUAAUGCCUAGGAAUCUGCCUGGUAGUGGGGGAUAACGUCCGGAAACGGGCGCUAAUACCGCAUACGUCCUGAGGGAGAAAGUGGGGGAUCUUCGGACCUCACGCUAUCAGAUGAGCCUAGGUCGGAUUAGCUAGUUGGUGGGGUAAAGGCCUACCAAGGCGACGAUCCGUAACUGGUCUGAGAGGAUGAUCAGUCGCACUGGAACUGAGACACGGUCCAGACUCCUACGGGAGGCAGCAGUGGGGAAUAUUGGACAAUGGGCGAAAGCCUGAUCCAGCCAUGCCGCGUGUGUGAAGAAGGUCUUCGGAUUGUAAAGCACUUUAAGUUGGGAGGAAGGGCAGUAAGUUAAUACCUUGCUGUUUUGACGCUACCAACAGAAUAAGCACCGGCUAACUUCGUG
rnacentral:rRNA from 1 species